rnacentral:sRNA from 1 species
CAAGGCUGGAACUCAGAAAAAUGUUUUAUGACAAGCAGUGGAAUUUUAAGUUCUGGUAACCUCCAGUGCUAUUGUUUCUCUAGGUUUCGGUGGACCGGGUCUUAAAGACCCUGAAAGAAAAUGCUAAUAAAGCCAAAAGCUUACUGCUCACUACCAUACCUCAGAUAGGGUCCACAGAAUGGUCAGAAACCCUCCAUAACCUGAAGAAUAUGGCCCAGUUUUCUGUUUUAUUACCAAGACAUUAAAGUAGCAUGGCUGCCCAGGAGAAAAGAAGACAUUCUAAUUCCAGUCAUUUUGGGAAUUCCUGCUUAACUUGAAAAAAA